GUCUGGGUCCUAUCCCCACUCCUCACGCGCAGCCCAGAACCCCUGCGCUGACCCUCGGGGAAAGGUGACCCCACGGUAAGUUGAGGCAGUAUGACCAAGAACAGGAGGAGUGGGCAAUGGCUAAGCAAGAAGAGCAGACAUUCUCUACACCAUGACUCUGUGCUUCUCUGAUUUUCUUGCGGCCUCUCCCCUUGUGUGGCAGCCCACACUCACUACAGGUGCAGAGGCAGCUGUCUGCGGCACCGCAUCAAACUUCAACGGACUGAGAGUCUGUGUCCCGAUACUUACGGGCUGCAACCUUAAUCCCAACAUGAUGGUAUUUGGAAGUAAUUGUGUCAUGAGGGAAGUAAGUAGCUCACAAUCUCUCAUAAAUGGAAUUAGUGCCAAGAAGGGGGGUCGGUCUUAAAUACAGGAAACUGUGUCAUCUGUGACAUCAUAGAUGGCACUGAAGCACAUUCUACCAAGUUAAGUAAGCUGCACACAGAAUGACAAAUAUUAUGUGAUCCCACUAUAUGUUGAAUCCAGAAAAGUUAGUCUCACAGAAAUGGAGAGUAGAAAGUCAGAGACCAGGAGGGGAGAGGGAAGACAGGGGAUGGGAAAAGGAACAAGGGUGAUCAAACAUUAGAAAAUUUCAGUUAGGUGAGAAGAAUAAGUUUUAGUGAUUCUAUUGUGGACUGGUCAGAUUUUAUAAUAAUGAAUUAUAUAUUUCAAAACUCCUAAAAGACUAAAUUUUUAAAAUGCUAACGACGAGAAAAAUAAAUAAGUUGCUAAAGGGAUAUGCAUAUUAAUACAUAGACCAAGUCAUCCCACUACAAAUCAUAAAUACAAACAAAUAUUAUUUGUCAGUUAAAAUAACUAAAGUGUUUUUAAUUACCUGUCUCUGCCCCACACUGACCUAGUGGUUCUAUUAGACACAGGAUUAUACUUUCCCACACACUGAGGCACCUGCUAUUUACCUGGGUCACAAGAAGCAUGAGACAGCAUGGAUGGGAAGUGUGCAAGUGAUUGCUGCAGGAAACAGACUUGGAAGGAAAUCUGGGAGAGGCAAUGCAGCACCCAUCCUCGUGAGCAGAUCUCCUGAGGGCCUCGCUCUGUGGUUCCCAUGGAAGCAAACCUGGAGAGAGGGCACAGGCAGUGGUCACUUCCCCUUCAAGCAAAGCCCCAUCUUCCGGUCUCCUUCAACUCAAAGACCGCAGAAUUUGUCUGCGCAUCAAGAUGAGGGAGAGGGUUUGGGAAGGCCUAGCUCACCCGUUCUCGUGGACAAAGGCCUCCAACCUCUUCCCCAGAAGAAAUCAUCCGCAGAGUAAGCCAGGAGAUGCCCUGGGAUCUGAGAGACAAGGAAUGUGGAAAACAGAGGGAGUGGAAGGACAACACCUUCACCUUGCCAGGCCUGGAGGGGCCUUUAUCAGUGCCCUACGUCAGUGACAAACACCAUGGUGGCAUUUCCAGGGGAGCUGGAGAGAGGGAGAAAUCAAGCUGGACAAGUAUUCCAAGUCUCAGGUGUUUCUUAGUCAUGAAGAGAGGCCAGCAUGGGCUGUUCAGGGCAACACCCUAGUCUGUGGCUUUACAGAGGCUGAAGAAAAGAGGAGACAAAUUUGAUCAGCUCAAGGAAGGUAGAUAUCAAAGCUGGCCAGGGUCUUCAUAAACAGAAGAGCAGCUGGAGUUCCAGCUGGUAAUUGACGUGCCUAAAGGGAAACUUGGGAAGGGCCCAGGAUUUCUACAUAGAUCAGUGGUUUAGGAGUAGAGAAUAAAAUUCCUCAAUGAGUAAAUAAUGUUGGACUUUCUCCUUUUGGUGAGGAAGGUACCAGAUAUAUCAACAACAAAGAUCAAUUUCAGUCUCCACCCACAGGUGAGGUUUAAGAUCCCUGAAUUAUUUUCUUCUGAAAUAUUUUAUUAGUCUAAGGUAGAAAAUCAUGAACAUGUAUGCCAAUUUCCCAUAUUGGAACAUAGGAAAUUCAAGAAAAGUCAAGAAGAGGCAAGCACAUCAUUGUAUUCCCACUCUCUAGAAUCACAUGCUGAAAUGCACAUUAUUAUAAGGAAAAUCAUGGAUAUAGUGAAAGGUAUGUUUUCAAGUCAAUUCUUUGUAACUGAAAGAUUCUUCUUUGAAAUAUGAAAC
rnacentral:lncRNA from 1 species